CUUCCGAUCAGCGAGGUACAUUGACCUCUUUGACCGGAAGGGGUUCCUUCCGGUCAACGAGGAUGUACCUGGUUGACCGGAAGGAAACUCUUCUGGUCAACGAGGUAGAUAUACCUCCCUGAUCGGAAG
rnacentral:miRNA from 1 species